CAUGCAAGUCGAGGGGAAACGACAUCGAAAGCUUGCUUUUGAUGGGCGUCGACCGGCGCACGGGUGAGUAACGCGUAUCCAACCUGCCCAUCACUUGGGGAUAACCUUGCGAAAGUAAGACUAAUACCCAAUGAUAUCUCUAGAAGGCAUCUGAAAGAGAUUAAAGAUUUAUCGGUGAUGGAUGGGGAUGCGUCUGAUUAGCUUGUUGGCGGGGUAACGGCCCACCAAAGCAACGAUCAGUAGGGAUUCUGAGAGGAAGGUCCCCCACAUUGGAACUGAGACACGGUCCAAACUCCUACGGGAGGCAGCAGUGAGGAAUAUUGGUCAAUGGACGAGAGUCUGAACCAGCCAAGUAGCGUGCAGGAUGACGGCCCUAUGGGUUGUAAACUGCUUUUAUAAGGGAAUAAAGUGAGUCUCGUGAGACUUUUUGCAUGUACCUUAUGAAUAAGGACCGGCUAAUUCCGUGCCAGCAGCCGCGGUAAUACGGAAGGUCCGGGCGUUAUCCGGAUUUAUUGGGUUUAAAGGGAGCGUAGGCCGGAGAUUAAGCGUGUUGUGAAAUGUAGAUGCUCAACAUCUGCACUGCAGCGCGAACUGGUUUCCUUGAGUACGCACAAAGUGGGCGGAAUUCGUGGUGUAGCGGUGAAAUGCUUAGAUAUCACGAAGAACUCCGAUUGCGAAGGCAGCUCACUGGAGCGCAACUGACGCUGAAGCUCGAAAGUGCGGGUAUCGAACAGGAUUAGAUACCCUGGUAGUCCGCACGGUAAACGAUGGAUGCCCGCUGUUGGUCUGAAUAGGUCAGCGGCCAAGCGAAAGCAUUAAGCAUCCCACCUGGGGAGUACGCCGGCAACGGUGAAACUCAAAGGAAUUGACGGGGGCCCGCACAAGCGGAGGAACAUGUGGUUUAAUUCGAUGAUACGCGAGGAA
rnacentral:rRNA from 1 species